rnacentral:rRNA from 1 species
UACAGAGGUCUCAAGCGUUGUUCGGAUUCAUUGGGCGUAAAGGGUGCGUAGGUGGUGCUGUAAGUCAGGUGUGAAAUCUCGGGGCUCAACCCCGAAACUGCACUUGAUACUGCAGUGCUCGAGGACUGGAGAGGAGAUUGGAAUUCAUGGUGUAGCAGUGAAAUGCGUAGAUAUCAUAAGGAAGACCAGUGGCGAAGGCGGGUCUCUGGACAGUUCCUGACGCUGAGGCACGAAGGUCAGGGGAGCAAACGGG